AUGCCAUGGUGUGGGCACUCCCUCUAAAGAUUUUUGUACCUCUCCUAUGCAUCAUAGAGAGAUUCAUAAUCCCUUUGCUGAAAUGUAUUAAGUUUAGUGCAAAGUUU